UGGCGAACGGGUGAGGAACGCGUGGAGAACCUACCCCGGCGUGGGGGAUACCCGCCAGAAAUGGUGGCUAAUACCGCGUACGGUUGCCGGACGAGAGGUCUGGCAAAGAAAGCCGCAAGGCGCGCUGGGAGGGGUCUGCGCCCGAUUAGCUAGUUGGCGGGGUAACGGCCCACCAAGGCGGUGAUCGGUAGCUGGUCUGAGAGGAUGAUCAGCCACACGGGGACUGAGACACGGCCCCG
rnacentral:rRNA from 1 species